AGCUACAACAGUACUUUUGGAUUGAUCAUCAAAGUUGCUUUUUAGUUGUGCAUAUGAUCAUACACAAAGUACAGAAAUCCUGAUGUGUGGUAUAUAUGACUCGCCUUAUUCACUUUACAUGUCAAAUACUUAUCAGAAUAGUAUCACUUUUGCAACUGAGUUUGGAACCUUGUAUAGGCUGUCAACCAUAAACAAGAAAGGCAAAACUCAUGUAGAACCUUGUGGGAUGUUAAGAUAUGUUCGAUUAUUAAAGCCCUGCAUGUGGAGGGUUCGUCUAGACUCGGUUGCUUUUUAUAAAACUAACUUUGUAUUGUUCUCUAAGAUGAUAAGAUGAACUGCCGUAUAGAGCAUGACAUAACUCACAGAAUUCCCUUUACAUGUAAGGAUGGUAGUUGCUUACAAGUUACUAGCAUAUAUCCGGUCCUCACUCUAGAUACGUCAUCAUCAGUUCGAUCUAUUUGUGAAGGAUUUUUUAGAUAAGAUGAUUCUUUUGGUGGACUAAGUUUGUACUGUUAAGUAAAUAUUUCAUUGGGGCCGCCAGAAAUCUGGAAUGGUGAUACUACAUACUCAAUUCAAAUUUGAAAAUACAUCAGAUCCCAGCUACGGAGGUCGCCGUGUGUUUCAAAGGGGCCUCCAUCGCAACUCUGGCCGUCCGCAAUUACAUUGGAUGGCACGCUAGUCCGCCAUUCAUCGUGGGGAGCCGCCGGCAGAGCAGGUCAGAGGUCCUGCAAUUGCAACUAGCAGGUGGGAGGCCCUCAUGGCGCCCUAUGACGAGCCUGAUCCCUAUUUGGUAUGGAGAGAUUAUCGCCAGAGGCUGUGGAACAACCUGAAGGACACUUGUGGUUAAGCAGCAGCAGCAGCAGCAGGUGAGGUGUUCAUGCCAGUCAGUUGGUGGUCAGACUGGCACUUGUUGGAUUUGGAUGAUACAGGUGAGGAAGAAACUAAACAAAGACUAGUUAUGUGGUCACCUGGGACUCUAGAUUGUUUUUUGGUGCCAUGUAGUCUUGUUUUGCUGUUAUACACUUGAUAAAUGCCAUGAGCCGUUUUGGCAGCACUGGUGUCGUUUCAUUGUUGUUUUAGUAGGUGCUUUGGCUAAAAUAGAAAAGAAAAAGAUUAUGCACGCCUAGGUUGUGUCAUGAUUGUUAUCGGCUUUGUUGAACUUCGACCUCUGUCUUCUUCAGAUACCUGUAAUGUGAAUUCAUAAUCUCCUUCCACAUUUCCCAGGUUUAGUAGAAGAUGGUAUGUUCUCGCACCUGUGAAGUAUUUAUCUUGCCAGUUAUAGUGUCAUUAUUUAGUUGAAAUGACAAGGCAUUGACUUUU